GGACAAGUGAAUAAGUGCACAUGGUGGAUGCCUUGGCGAUUACAGGCGAUGAAGGACGUAGUAGCUUGCGAUAAGCUGCGGGGAGCUAGCAAACGAGCUUUGAUCCGCAGAUUUCCGAAUGGGGAAACCCGGCCUUUUAGGUCAUUGCAUACUGAAUACAUAGGUAUGCAAAGCGAACGCGGCGAACUGAAACAUCUAAGUAGCUGCAGGAAAAGAAAUCAACCGAGAUUCCCAAAGUAGUGGCGAGCGAAAUGGGAUGAGCCUGUAUGUGAUAGUCGGACUGAUAGUGGAAGCCUCUGGAAAUAGGCGCCAUAGUGGGUGAUAGCCCCGUACACGAAAUCAGACCGGUGGUACUAAGCANAAAUCAACCGAGAUUCCCAAAGUAGUGGCGAGCGAAAUGGGAAGAGCCUGUACGUGAUAGUCGACUAGAUAGUGGAACAACCUGGAAAUGUUGGCCAUAGAGGGUGAUAGCCCCUUACACGAAAUCUAGACGGUGGUACUAAGCGUACGACAAGUAGGGCGGGACACGAGAAAUCCUGUCUGAACAUGGGGGGACCAUCCUCCAAGNGCGCCAUAGUGGGUGAUAGCCCCGUACACGAAAUCAGACCGGUGGUACUAAGCAUACGACAAGUAGGGCGGGACACGAGAAAUCCUGUCUGAACAUGGGGGGACCAUCCUCCAAGGCUAAAUACUCGUAAUCGACCGAUAGUGAACCAGUACCGUGAGGGAAAGGCGAAAAGAACCCCGGGAGGGGAGUGAAAUAGAUCCUGAAACCGUGUGCAUACAAACAGUCGGAGCCUCUUCGUGGGGUGACGGCGUACCUUUUGUAUAAUGGGUCAGCGACUUACAUUCAGUGGCGAGGUUAACCGAAUAGGGGAGCCGUAGAGAAAUCGAGUCCGAACAGGGCGACAGUCGCUGGGUGUAGACCCGAAACCAAGUGAUCUACCCAUGGCCAGGAUGAAGGUGCGGUAACACGCCCUGGAGGUCCGAACCCACUAAUGUUGAAAAAUUAGGGGAUGAGCUGUGGGUAGGGGUGAAAGGCUAAACAAACUUGGAAAUAGCUGGUUCUCUCCGAAAACUAUUUAGGUAGUGCCUCAAGUAUCACCAUCGGGGGUAGAGCACUGUUAUGGCUAGGGGGUCAUUGCGACUUACCAAACCAUUGCAAACUCCGAAUACCGAUGAGUGCGAGCUUGGGAGACAGACAUCGGGUGCUAACGUCCGGUGUCAAGAGGGAAACAACCCAGACCGCCAGCUAAGGUCCCAAAGAUUGGCUAAGUGGAAAACGAAGUGGGAAGGCUAAAACAGUCAGGAUGUUGGCUUAGAAGCAGCCACCAUUUAAAGAAAGCGUAAUAGCUCACUGAUCGAGUCGUCCUGCGCGGAAGAUGUAACGGGGCUAAGCCAGUCACCGAAGCUGCGGAUAUAUUUCUCGUGAUUUAUCACUUGAUCUAUNNNGGGAAGGCUAAAACAGUCAGGAUGUUGGCUUAGAAGCAGCCACCAUUUAAAGAAAGCGUAAUAGCUCACUGAUCGAGUCGUCCUGCGCGGAAGAUGUAACGGGGCUAAGCCAGUCACCGAAGCUGCGGAUAUAUUUCUCGUGAUUUAUCACUUGAUCUAUAUGGUAGGAGAGCGUUCUGUAAGCCUGCGAAGGUGUCUUGUAAAGGAUGCUGGAGGUAUCAGAAGUGCGAAUGCUGACAUGAGUAGCGAUAAUGCGGGUGAAAAGCCCGCACGCCGUAAGCCCAAGGUUUCCUGUUCAACGUUCAUCGGAGCAGGGUGAGUCGGCCCCUAAGGCGAGGCAGAGAUGCGUAGCUGAUGGGAAGCAGGUUAAUAUUCCUGCACCGUCGUAUGAUGCGAUGGGGGGACGGAUCGCGGAAGGUUGUCUGACUGUUGGAAUAGUCAGUUUUUGACUCAUAGAAGGUGCUUAGGCAAAUCCGGGCACGUAAUUCAAGGGGUUGAGACGAGCGGCCAUGCGCNNNAGUUUUUGACUCAUAGAAGGUGCUUAGGCAAAUCCGGGCACGUAAUUCAAGGGGUUGAGACGAGCGCUCUUGUAGCGCGAAGCAAUCGGAAGUGGUUCCAAGAAAAGCCUCUAAGCUUCAGUCAUACGAGACCGUACCGCAAACCGACACAGGUGGGCGAGAUGAGUAUUCUAAGGCGCUUGAGAGAACUCGGGAGAAGGAACUCGGCAAAUUGGUACCGUAACUUCGGGAUAAGGUACGCCCUAGUAGUUUGACCACUUUACUGUGGAAGGAUGAACGGGUUGCAAUAAAAUGGUGGCUGCGACUGUUUAAUAAAAACACAGCACUCUGCAAACACGAAAGUGGACGUAUAGGGUGUGACGCCUGCCCGGUGCUGGAAGAUUAAAUGAUGGGGUGCAAGCUCUUGAUUGAAGUCCCAGUAAACGGCGGCCGUAACUAUAACGGUCCUAAGGUAGCGAAAUUCCUUGUCGGGUAAGUUCCGACCUGCACGAAUGGCGUAACGAUGGCCACACUGUCUCCUCCCGAGACUCAGCGAAGUUGAAAUGUUUGUGAUGAUGCAAUCUACCCGCGGCUAGACGGAAAGACCCCAUGAACCUUUACUGUAGCUUUGCAUUGGACUUUGAAUCAAUCUGUGUAGGAUAGGUGGGAGGCUUUGAAGUAGGGACGCCAGUUCCUAUGGAGCCAUCCUUGAAAUACCACCCUGGUUCAUUUGAGGUUCUAACCUUGGUCCGUUAUCCGGAUCGGGGACAGUGCAUGGUAGGCAGUUUGACUGGGGCGGUCUCCUCCUAAAGUGUAACGGAGGAGUUCGAAGGUACGCUAGGUACGGUCGGACAUCGUGCUAAUAGUGCAAUGGCAUAAGCGUGCUUAACUGCGAGACCGACAAGUCGAGCAGGUACGAAAGUAGGACAUAGUGAUCCGGUGGUUCUGUAUGGAAGGGCCAUCGCUCAACGGAUAAAAGGUACUCUGGGGAUAACAGGCUGAUUCCUCCCAAGAGUUCAUAUCGACGGGGGAGUUUGGCACCUCGAUGUCGGCUCAUCACAUCCUGGGGCUGUAGCCGGUCCCAAGGGUAUGGCUGUUCGCCAUUUAAAGUGGUACGUGAGCUGGGUUUAAAACGUCGUGAGACAGUUUGGUCCCUAUCUGCCGUGGGCGUUGGAAAUUUGAAGGGGGCUGCUCCUAGUACGAGAGGACCGGAGUGGACGAACCUCUGGUGUACCGGUUGUCACGCCAGUGGCAUUGCCGGGUAGCUAAGUUCGGAAGAGAUAACCGCUGAAAGCAUCUAAGCGGGAAACUUGCCU
rnacentral:rRNA from 1 species